GAGAACCUAGUAAACACAUUACAUAGCCUUGUCAUGGCUAAAUCACAGUCUCUGUGGUCCUCA
rnacentral:tRNA from 1 species